rnacentral:rRNA from 1 species
UACGUAGGGUGCGAGCGUUAAUCGGAAUUACUGGGCGUAAAGCGUGCGCAGGCGGUUUCACAAGCUCGAUGUGAAAGCCCCGGGCUUAACCUGGGAAUGGCAUUGAGGACUGUGGAGCUCGAGUGCGGCAGAGGGGGGUGGAAUUCCACGUGUAGCAGUGAAAUGCGUAGAGAUGUGGAGGAACACCGAUGGCGAAGGCAGCCCCCUGGGCCAAUACUGACGCUCAUGCACGAAAGCGUGGGGAGCAAACAGG